AUAACAAUUGAAAACAAUAAAAUUACAAUAGCUUUGUUUGUUAAAUAAAUAAAAAUGUUAUACCGGUUCUCAAGUAUAUAUUUUCAUAUUGCAGGUCUUGUUGCAGGUCUAGAAAUGUUCUGCAAUAAAAAUUUGAUUUCAAAAAAAUUAAAGGGAACAAAAACUUUUGCUUUUAAUUUACUCGGAGAAUGGCUGGAUUCAUUUGACCGUGUACAGUUUUGUUUAUAAUUAUAGUGAAGAGAUGAAAAUAAUGAAACUGUAUGGUGCAAAAAGUGUUUUUUUCAUUGCAGUUUCUGCUGCUGGGAAAGCGGUAGAUCACUAUGGCUUCUGUACCGUGAUUAGUCACUCUUUUUCGCAUCGGUCACUAUUUUCGGUAUUUUCGGUUAUCAUUUCGGUGGCUGCAUUCCGUAUCGGUGACGUUCGACGUUUGAUAGUUCAUCAAAUAGUAGCGCGGUUAUUUCGUCAAUUUGGUCACCUGUCAGCUGCGCUACUGUUUUAGCAGCGCGUUUAGUAGCGACCGGUAAAGUGUCAAGUAAUGAUACUGCGCUGACAAACGGCUUAUACUCACCACCGGUAAUCGUAAUCUUAUACUACAAAAGUUCAAUGUACAUAAUGAACGCAGUGGUUCAUCCCGAACAAAAAAUAAAUGAAAAUUUUAUCAUCAUAGUACCUGAUGACAUGCCUGGUAACAUGUAUCCUUGUUCCUUUACAGAAAUGAAGCUUAUGAUAAAUAAAAUACUGCUGCUUGCUGGUCACUGAUUGAAGAUCGUUCAGUGGCUACCAUUGGCCAAUCUCACCAAGGGGAUAUAAUAAGAACUGAUGCAGGUUUAUAUCUAUUCGGAACAAAGUUAGUACACUUUUUAAACCGAUGUUGGAUUUUUCUCCAGAUACAGGCAACCCACUUAACUUUGGAAGUAGUGCGCUGGAUUCGUCUAAAGAUAUGCUAAACAACCGGAGGAAAAUAAAAUGAUAUGUAAAACAA